UCCAACCCCCCCCAGGUGCCUGGAGGUGCUGCUGGGUGCCGGAUGCAGGCCGUGUGUGCUGGCUGACACCGCUGAGCUGCCCAGCCCCCCCGACAUCCAGCUGGCUCACCUCAGGCUGCGGGCGCUGUGCCUGCCUGGUGCAGCAGCUGAUGAGAAGUGGCUGUCGGCGCUGGAAGGGACGCGGUGGCUGGAGCACGUCCGAGCCUGCUUGAGGAAAGCUGUGGAGGUGGCAUCGCUGCUGGCAGGGAAACGGUGCUCUGUUGUCCUGCAGG